rnacentral:rRNA from 1 species
UACGGGGGGUGCGAGCGUUGUCCGGAAUCACUGGGCGUAAAGGGCGCGUAGGUGGUUUGAUAAGGGUGUGGUGAAAGUCCGGGGCUCAACCCCGGAUCUGCCGUGCCGACUGUCAAACUCGAGGGCUGUAGAGGCAGACGGAAUUCCGGGUGUAGCGGUGGAAUGCGUAGAGAUCCGGAGGAAGACCGGUGGCGAAGGCGGUCUGCUGGGCAGUUUCUGACACUGAUGCGCGACAGCGCGGGGAGCAAACAGG